rnacentral:rRNA from 1 species
AGCGAACGUUAGCGGUGUGGAUAAGGCAUGCAAGUCGUGCGCGAAAGCCUUCGGGUGAGUAAAGCGGCGAACGGGUGAGUAACACGUAACCAACCUGCCCCUCAGAUCGGGAUAACUGCUGGAAACGGCAGCUAAUACCGAAUGGUCCCGGAUGAUGGCAUCAAAAACCGGGUAAACGGCGGCUUCGGCCGUUGCUGAGGGAGGGGGUUNCGGGCUAUUAGCUAGUUGGUGGGGUAAAGGCCUACCAAGGCAAUGAUGGCUAGCCGGUCUGAGAGGACGACCGGUCACACUGGGACUGAGACACUGCCCAGACUCCUACGGGAGGCUGCAGUCGAGAAUCUUCCGCAAUGGGCGAAAGCCUGACGGAGCGACACCGCGUGUAGGAUGAAGGCCUGGUUGUAACUACUAGUCACGCUAUAGGAACCGUACGACUAGAUUAAUACCU